CCUACGGGGCGCAGCAGUGGGGAAUAUUGCACAAUGGGGGAAACCCUGAUGCAGCGACGCCGCGUGGGUGACGAAGUAUUUCGGUAUGUAGAGCCCUAUCAGCAGGGAAGAAGAUGACAGUACCUGACUAAGAAGCCCCGGCUGACUACGUGCCAGCAGCCGCGGUAAUACGUAGGGGGCAAGCGUUAUCCGGAUUUACUGGGUGUAAAGGGAGCGUAGACGGCAGAGCAAGUCUGAAGUGAAAGCCCGCGGCCCAACUGCGGGACUGCUUUGGAGACUGCCCGGCUAGAGUGCUGGAGAGGUAA
rnacentral:rRNA from 1 species